GUACUUCAUUUCUCAUUUUGUGAAACAGUCAUUGAUUAAUGAAAUAGAACCCAUAAAUUGGUGUUGGUUCUGUAUGUAGGGGUUGUUCUCUAUGCAUACAUCUGCAGAUGGGGAGAACAGCAGGGUGUAGCAGAAGAACUAAAGGGCCUUCAGGGUGGCCCACUUCUUCCGGUGAACACCGGGUGCUGGUCAUGACUGCACCACAGAAGUCCUACAAGCUUAUCUGUGAUACUUAUCAUCUGAUAGGAAAUGCAUUGCGUAGGAGAAGGGUGAGAAAAAGAAAUCGAUGAUCCCAACUUGAAAGACUAAAUUGAGGCAGAUCACCCCUGUGAUGAGAUCGUCCAGUGUUACCACCAUUUUCCUCCUAGAAAACGUGGACGAUAGGAGGAUCAGAAGAAGCCUGUGAAAAAAAAGGAUUAUAUUGCACUCAUUUUUUUCUUUAGAAAUAUUUCCUCAUGUUGUAAACUGUUCUAAAGAAAAUGCUAUCAUCCAAAAUUGCAAUAAGAUGAAGAGCUUACAAUAAAAAUAUAUAAAGCAUAGUUAUUUAAGUAUGUUUUUUUACAAAUGCAAAGCAACUUUGGCGUUAAAUUUUUCAUAGAAUGAUACACUUCCAAAGCCAAGCUUACAGAGAUGUGGUAUGAAGGACUUGAACAAUGCAAGACACAAGCGUACAUAUGAGAUCUAACUUUAAAAGAUGUUUUAUUGUUGGUAUGUUUGCUACUAAAUGAAAAUAUUAUAUCCGUUUCCUUUUUAUUGCCUCUAAAUACAGUGAAUCUGAAUUGAGAUACUAUAAGAUUUCUUCUGCCACUGUUAUGCUUAACAGACUUGUGUAUGAUUUCAUUUGCCAUGACUUUGCUGCAGAGUGAUGUCAUUCAUUAGCGUUACACUUGAUGUCCGCUGAUGUAAAUGCGCAAAGAGUCAAACCAUUGGUUAAUAGAGACCUACUGACUGCUGAAGCUCAGCCUUGAAAUUCAGUCUUCCGAAUAAUGGCACACAGCAAUAACCAUUUUGAAAAUGAAUAAUGUAUGUAAAGGGAGCUUUUAGCAUACAGAGAUGCUGACUGUGGACCUGUUACUGAAGAGAUUUCUGUUAGGUAGGAGUUGAUGCCAAGAAUUUUUGACGUUUGUGGGAUAAGUCCGUCAAUUGGCAGGAUAUGUGAAGAAGUGAUUUUGGAAAUGGGGGUUAUGUGGUAAGGCACAGGGGUCUAGAAAAUCUACUAGACUCUACUGGGACAGUCCGUAGAGAGCUGUAAAUAACAAGAUAGUAUUUAACCAAGAAGCAAUGGGGUAAGUAAGCUAUGAGAGAAAUUGUUUCUGUAAUAUGUCAGCAGAGUUAUGUAGUUGGCAAGUUUCCACCAGGUAACUUUUUAUACAGUCUAGGUUUCAGUUUUUACUCUCCACAGUUUCUUUCUUCUUUGUACAGUCAGGCUAUGUCUUAUAGUUUGUAGCCCUUAAACUAUUUUUAACUUUGUUUUGAAUUAUCUUGUGCCAA